rnacentral:tRNA from 1 species
GAGUGUCUAUUAUAAUUUUAUUAUUUUUAUUUUAAGCGUAAAAGAUGUUUCACUUA